rnacentral:rRNA from 1 species
CGAAACCGAUAGCGAACAAGUACCGUGAGGGAAAGUUGAAAAGUACUCUGAAUAGAGAGUUAAAUAGUACGUGAAACCGCUUAGGGGUUAAGCCCGAUGAACCCGAAUAUCUGAUUUGAGAAAUUCAAUAUUGUUCAUUUAAUGGAUAGUAUGCACUUUUCUCAUAGUAGGACAUUGUAAUCCAUUGAUGAUAUAUCUAUUUCAUUUAUGGAAUAGAUGAUUUAACAUACGGACAAAAUGUAUAUGUUUAUUCUAUCAAUGAUAUGUUUACAUGUCAUAUGAAUAAGAUCGUUUCGUACCUGUUUAAAUAGUCGAUGGAUUUUAAAUGAAUCAUGCUUGCAAUUUAUUUUGCAUUUCGUAUUAUUUGACUAGUUAUAGUUAGUAAUAGCAGAAAUGGCAUGCAUUCGAUUAACAAUGCGAUAGAUUUGGGAUACUUUCAGGACCCGUCUUGA